rnacentral:rRNA from 1 species
AACGAACGCUGGCGGCAUGCCUAACACAUGCAAGUCGAACGAGACCUUCGGGUCUAGUGGCGCACGGGUGCGUAACGCGUGGGAACCUGCCCUUAGGUUCGGAAUAACUCCCCGAAAGGGGUGCUAAUACCGGAUAAUGUCUUCGGACCAAAGAUUUAUCGCCUUUGGAUGGGCCCGCGUUGGAUUAGCUAGUUGGUAGGGUAAAAGCCUACCAAGGCGACGAUCCAUAGCUGGUCUGAGAGGAUGAUCAGCCACACUGGGACUGAGACACGGCCCAGACUCCUACGGGAGGCAGCAGUGGGGAAUAUUGGACAAGGGGCGAAAGCCUGAUCCAGCAAGGCCGCGUGAGUGAUGAAGGCCUUAGGGUUGUAAAGCUCUUUUACCCGGGAUGAAAUGACAGUACCGGGAGAAUAAGCUCCGGCUAACUCCGUG